AAGUCGUAACAAGGUUUCCGUAGGUGAACCUGCGGAAGGAUCAUUCAUGUAACAAUGAAAGGGCUAUCUUCUUUCGGGGAGUGGUCUGAUCGUCCAACCUUUUUGGUGACCAUGUAGUGUUGGUAUCGUAGUCUUUCGGGGCUGUUGUAUUGACCAGAAGCUGGCUCCAGGGGCUAUUUUAACCAUUUUUAUUUUAUGCCUAAAACGUACAAGUGAAUUAAAUUAUAACCUUUAACAAUGGAUCUCUUGGCUCCU
rnacentral:misc_RNA from 1 species